GGUCUUGACAUCCCGAUGCUAUUUCUAGAGAUAGAAAGUUAACUUCGGUUACAUCGGUGACAGGUGGUGCAUGGUUGUCGUCAGCUCGUGUCGUGAGAUGUUGGGUUAAGUCCCGCAACGAGCGCAACCCCUAUUGUUAGUUGCCAUCAUUCAGUUGGGCACUCUAGCGAGACUGCCGGUAAUAAACCGGAGGAAGGUGGGGAUGACGUCAAAUCAUCAUGCCCCUUAUGACCUGGGCUACACACGUGCUACAAUGGUUGGUACAACGAGUUGCGAGUCGGUGACGGCGAGCUAAUCUCUUAAAGCCAAUCUCAGUUCGGAUUGUAGGCUGCAACUCGCCUACAUGAAGUCGGAAUCGCUAGUAAUCGCGGAUCAGCACGCCGCGGUGAAUACGUUCCCGGGCCUU
rnacentral:rRNA from 1 species